AGUCUAGAUAAACCAUAAAACAUAGUAUAAACUACAUAUAGCUACACCCAUAUUAAACAUAACCAACCAACACAUCAUCAUCUCAUAGCUACACCGCCCAUAUUCUAUGCCUCAUCAUCAACAAAUUUCAUAUCUAUGCCCGUACUAACAAACCCCAGAUUCUAAGCAACUAAACCAUCACUGAAAAUAUUCACACAAUCCAUUAUUAUAAACUGACAAGGAAUUUAAAGCAUCAUAUUCAUACAUGAAUUAAGAAAAAUCCAAAAUGUAAAAGGCAUGACAACAGAAAUAUAAAUGGGGGAAAUGGAUAUAAGAAAAGGGAAAAUACCUACCUCCUUCAAGCCUUCGACAAUGAUAACAAUCCUUUAAUUUUUGGGUUCAAUUUGGGAUUUAGGGUUUAACUAGUUUUGGGAAUGAUGGAGAGAAGAAGGUUUUAGGGUUCAAUUGAUGGCGAACAAUGGAUAGAAGGGUUGAUUUCGUCGGAGAAGAUGGCGAGUGAGGAACGAUGGAGAGGGAGAAACGGUGAGUGAAUCGGUGAGAAAAAAUGGAGUGAAGUGUCUGGGCAUGUGUUUACCUUUUUAAUUUCAGCGUUUUUAGUUUUUUAUUUUUUGUGAAAGAACCUAUAAUAGCACUUAUGAAGAAGCGCUAUCCUAUC
rnacentral:lncRNA from 1 species